rnacentral:rRNA from 1 species
GGGCACCUAGCUAGCUAGCUGGCCCGCCCGCGGUGAGGUGAGGGGUGAGCGGUUUUGCCUCUGCCUUUUGGUGGUGGGUUUACUAGGCGGGUGAGAGAGAAGGGGAGGGGGAGGAGGCGACAGGGCGGGGGCGUGCGGAGAGCGCGGGCGGCGGAGGAGGGGGCGGAGGUGGGGUUCCAUUGGCGGUAGUAGAGGAGCUAGGGGUGGUGGGGUCGCAAUAGAGGUAGUGGAGAGUGUUGACGAUCUAGAGGUGGGGGGAGGGAGGAGGUCCGUGUGUCCGGGGUCCCUUGACGGCAGAAGAGGCGCGCGUGCCGUCCGGCGUCUCCGUGGCGGCGGCGAGGAGGAGGUCGCGGUCGGAGAGGCAGAGGCCGGGCCUCUACCUAGGGCGGCGCGCCUUCCUAGACAUGGGCGUGCAGCUCGGGAAGCUGUGGCCGGCGGAGUCCCAGAGGCUGCAGGUGUGGUAGAUGAUGCUCGUCAGGCCCUUGGGGCCCCCGGUGGGGCAGCAGAAGGAGGUGCCGCCGGGACCCCGGCCGUGGAGCGGCCCGUUGGCGUCCAAGAAGCUAGGCCUCAAGAUGUCCUAGCACGACAAGCUGGUCUCUCCGCGGCCGUUCUCGUGAGGGGUACGAACAGAUCUCGUCUUGUGGUGGACCCUGAACCACCGACUGUAACUCUUCGAGUCCGUCGUGGAGCUGUAAGGUCUCACCGUCCACAAGCCGCCAAGUACCCCUUCGUGGAACCGGGAGCGGAUGUCGGUCUGAGUGGGACUAUUCCAGUGACCGUAACAAAAUUCUCCGUAAAAGAACGAAUCCUUUUUCCUCGAACUGACCAAGAUGCUCCCGCCGCGUCGUCGACAAAAGGGUCUACGUACCCUCGGUAAAUCUCUAAAAUAAGGACUCCUGCUUUCCUUAACAAAGUAUCGACGAAUGUCGUUUUCCGAUUGAAGGAGACUGCGACUACAGGUCUAACUUCGACGAUUCUCUACCUGUUGUACCCUCUACUACUGACGUGUAGAAGAAGUUUUAGUACUCUUGUAGUUUGCUCCUCUCCUGCUGUUUAAAAGUAACCGUAAACGUUCCUAACUUUUGGUGAUGAAGUAAUUGUUCCCUAAGAAUCUGAGCCUGAGAGUGAAUAACCUGUUGCAGCUGUUUUAAGCAGUGUAAUUUAGAAAGUAACAUGUCCCCGCCAUACUAUACACGACAGGAUACUACAGACGAACCCUAGAAGUAUUUCGAACCGGACUUCGACUCAAAUUCCACCAAGGUCUACGUCCUGUGAGCCGGUUACUUCAACCGCAACGCCGACUUGACCAUAGUCGAUUGCUUUUCGAAUUUCCGUACAACUUUUUUACUCGUCGGACUGAGGUAUCGCCGUGUGUCGGAGACCGUUUCUUAAAGUCGAGUUAAAAUGACCCCAGUGCAACGUUUUAUUCUUGACCAUGAUGGUAAAAUCGUAAAUCGUGUCGGACUAACAUGCACAGUUUGUCAAGGGAUAAGUUAGUUUCAACAGACAGAAUUAAAUCAGUGAAUCCGAACAAAGGACUACACACAAAAAAAAAUUCUUUUCCAAGUUCGGAUCGGGCUGAAACUUAAUUA